rnacentral:rRNA from 1 species
UCAGGACGAACGCUGGCGGCGUGCCUAACACAUGCAAGUCGAGCGAGGAGAUUCCUUCGGGAUGAUCCUAGCGGCGGACGGGUGAGUAACACGUGGGCAACCUGCCUCAUAGAGAGGAAUAGCCUUCCGAAAGGGAGAUUAAUACCUCAUAACAUUGCAGUUUCGCAUGAAACAGCAAUUAAAGGAGCAAUCCGCUAUGAGAUGGGCCCGCGGCGCAUUAGCUAGUUGGUGAGGUAACGGCUCACCAAGGCGACGAUGCGUAGCCGACCUGAGAGGGUGAUCGGCCACAUUGGGACUGAGACACGGCCCAGACUCCUACGGGAGGCAGCAGUGGGGAAUAUUGCACAAUGGGGGAAACCCUGAUGCAGCAACGCCGCGUGAGUGAUGACGGCCUUCGGGUUGUAAAGCUCUGUCUUCAGGGACGAUAAUGACGGUACCUGAGGAGGAAGCCACGGCUAACUACGUGCCAGCCGCCGC